UACCCGCGGCCCGAGUGGUGCUUAUCAUUAUUGAGCGUAAAGCGUCCGUAGCUGGCCGCGCGAAUCUCCGGGUAAAUCGGGCCGCUCAACGGUCCGAAUUCCGGAGACACUGCUCGGCUUGGGAUCGGGAGAGGGUGAAGGUACUCCCGGGGUAGGGGUAAAAUCCUGUAAUCCUGGGGGGACCACCAGUGGCGAAGGCGUUCACCUAGAACGAAUCCGACAGUGAGGGACGAAGCCCUAGGGCGCAAACGGGAUUAGAUACCCCGGUAGUCUAGGGUGUAAACGCUGCAGACUUGGUGUUGGGGGUCCUGCGUGGGCUCCCAGUGCCGGAGCGAAGGUGUUGAGUCUGCCGCUUGGGGAGUACGGUCGCAAGACUGAAACUUAAAGGAAUUGGCGGGAGAGCACCGCAACGGGAGGAGCGUGCGGUUCAAUUGGAUUCAACGCCGGAAAACUCACCGGAGGCGACGGAGGGAUGAAAGCCAGGCUGAAGACCUUGCCCGAUUCUCCGAGAGGUGGUGCAUGGCCGUCGUCAGUUCGUACCGUAAGGCGUUCUGUUAAGUCAGAUAACGAACGAGACCCUCGCCGUUAGUCGCAAUCUUACAAGCGAUUGUAGGAGCACACUAGCGGGAUCGCUGCCGUUAAGGCAGAGGAAGGAGAGGUCUACGGUAGGUCCGUAUGCCCCGAAUCUUCCGGGCAACACGCGCGCUACAAAGGUGGGGACAAUGGGACCCGACCUCGAAAGGGGGAGGCAAUCCUGAAACCCCAUCGUAGUCUGGAUCGAGGGCUGUAACUCGCCCUCGUGAAAAUGGAUUCCGUAGUAAUCGCGGGUCAACAUCCCGCGGUGAAUGUGCCCCUGCUCUU
rnacentral:rRNA from 1 species